rnacentral:misc_RNA from 1 species
UGAUGCAAGCAUAUAAAAAAUAAAGCUUGACGCUCCUUAAGGGGUGAUGACGGGGAAUAGGAUAAGGCGAAAGCUACUACUUAUUNCUCUAUAAAGUGCCACAGAGACGAGCUAUGCAGAAAUGCAUAGG